CCUACGGGAGGCAGCAGUAAGGAAUAUUGGUCAAUGGAGGCAACUCUGAACCAGCCAUGCCGCGUGCAGGAUGACGGCCCUAUGGGUUGUAAACUGCUUUUAUACAAGAGAAAACCCUGGUACGUGUACCAGGUUGAUAGUAUUGUAAGAAUAAGCAUCGGCUAACUUCGUGCCAGCAGCCGCGGUAAGACGAAGGAUGCAAGCGUUAUCCGGAUUCAUUGGGUUUAAAGGGUGCGUAGGCGGACUGAUAAGUCAGUGGUGAAAUCUCUUUGCUUAACAAAGAAACUGCCAUUGAUACUGUCGGUCUAGAGUAUAGAUGACGUUGGCGGAAUAUGACAUGUAGUGGUGAAAUACUUAGAUAUGUCAUAGAACACCGAUUGCGAAGGCAGCUAACGAAACUAUAACUGACGCUGAGGCACGAAAGUGCGGGGAUCAAACAGGAUUAGAUACCCUGGUAGUCCGCACCGUAAACGAUGAUUACUCGUUGUUGGCGAUAUGACAGUCAGCGACCAAGCGAAAGCGAUAAGUAAUCCAACCUGGGGAGUACGCCGGCAACGGUGAAAACUCAAAAUGAGUAGAGACGNGAGAGNGCGAGGACGACACAGGGAGGAGG
rnacentral:rRNA from 1 species